CUUUUGAAUCAUUCCUCCCUAUGUGUUCUGGAGGUUUCACUGACACUUAAGCUGGGAGAGCUAAAGGGAACCAGGAGCAGAGUCUGCUCCAAGAAUAUCCCAUGGGGUGGGAAGUACAGACUUACAAGCUCUCUGAAAAGCAGUUUGAGGAGAGAUUCCUGACUCUAUUAGGCAGCCCCGGAAGCAUCUGGAAGCUGAGGUCUAGAACUUUCUUCUUGGCCCCGGGUCAGCUGGAACCUCUGCUUCCUUGUGUAGAUUGCUGAAUUUCUUAUGGAGUUCUGAUUGCUUACAUCUCAGUUCAAGUCAAGACCCAGAUGCUCUAUCUUGUCUUCUGGAACAAUACAAGGAUUGACAUCCUCCCUAUGCUGCUUUGAAUUUUCAAACACGCACAUUGUCUUCUUUCAGUCAAGUCAAUUUUAAAAUGCUUGACCAAAAGCUACCGAAAGACCUGGAUAAUAGCAAGAAUUGGGAGCAAUUUCUAAAAUAGAAGAUGGAACAUAUGUUUAAAAAACAAAACCUGAUUGUUCUUUAAAUAUAAAAACAGCAACAUUACCAAUAUCAGUUCAAACAAAGGAUCAUGGGAAGUGUAAUUGUAAAUUUUAACAUCAGCAGCUGAUCUCCAU
rnacentral:lncRNA from 1 species